GUUGCGUAGAUACUGUCCAAAAGUGUUCCAAUCUCUUCUCUUCUGAUUCUCAUACCUACUCAGCUGGUUCAUCGCCGAGCCGCCUGAAGAAGACGAGGAGGAGGAGGAUGAGGUGGUGACUGCUGCGUCGGCGAUCAUAAGAGAUUUAUGAGCCUUGAGUUGAUAAGGGAAAAGAUGGCGGAGAAUAGAGAGGAGAAAGGGUAUCGUAAUCAUUGCUAUAGAGUGCGGGUUGGAUGUAUUCCUGCUAUAAAUAUUUUCUCAUUAUUUUUUUCUGCUUGACUCAUAACAGUGGAUUCGUAAUAAUGCAAGCUUCUAUUUUGACUAUAGAGAUUGAGUUAAACACUACUACUAUCCUUAUUACAUAUACAUCUCUUUAA